GACCGCGUAGCUCAGUUGGCAGAGCAUUGGGCUAGUAUUCCAAAGGUCGUAGGUUCGAUUCCUGCCCUGGCCA